UCCCUGGUGGUUCAGUGGUUAAGACUUCGGCUUUCACUGCCAUGGACCCAGGUUUGAUCCCUGGUUGGGGAA
rnacentral:tRNA from 1 species